rnacentral:rRNA from 1 species
GGGCCCGCACAAGCGGUGGAGCAUGUGGUUUAAUUCGAUGAUACGCGAGGAACCUUACCAGGGCUUAAAUGUAGUCUGACAGGGGUGGAAACACCCCCUCCUUCGGGCAGAUUACAAGGUGCUGCAUGGUUGUCGUCAGCUCGUGCCGUGAGGUGUCAGGUUAAGUCCUAUAACGAGCGCAACCCCCUGCCGUUAGUUGCCAGCAUGUAAUGAUGGGAACUCUAACGGGACUGCCGGUGCAAACCGCGAGGAAGGUGGGAUGACGUCAAAUCAUCACGGCCCUUACGUCCUGGGCUACACACGUGCUACAAUGGCCGGUACAGAGGGCAGCCACACGCAAGGUGGAGCGAAUCUACAAAAGCCGAUCUC